rnacentral:rRNA from 1 species
AACGAACGCUGGCGGCAGGCCUAACACAUGCAAGUCGAACGCCGUAGCAAUACGGAGUGGCAGACGGGUGAGUAACGCGUGGGAACAUACCCCUCGGUUCGGAAUAACUCAGGGAAACUUGAGCUAAUACCGGAUACGUCCGAGGUUUUGAUCGACCUUGGAGAAAGAUUUAUCGCCGAAGGAUUGGCCCGCGUCUGAUUAGCUUGUUGGUGAGGUAAUGGCUCACCAAGGCGACGAUCAGUAGCUGGUCUGAGAGGAUGAUCAGCCACAUUGGGACUGAGACACGGCCCAAACUCCUACGGGAGGCAGCAGUGGGGAAUAUUGGACAAUGGGCGAAAGCCUGAUCCAGCCAUGCCGCGUGAGUGAUGAAGGCCUGGUGUAAG